UCUCUCAUAUUUUGAUCUUGUUUCAUUUUAGGGAGGAAUCUGAUGAAUUUGUGGAGAUUGGAGCGCUCAAUGGAUUGUUUGUUUUAGGAAGAUCGAUUGGAUUCAUUGGUCAUUAUUUGGAUCAGAAACGCCUAAAGAUGGGUCUGUAUAGACAUCCUUGGGACGACAUCACGUACAUCAUGCCUGAUCAUCUCACAGACCUUCGCCCAGCAAGUUUUGAAUAAGUACGUGACAAUCACGUUGUGGAAGUGUUUGGAAUUACAAAUUUUGGUUUUCCUCCUUGAACUCAAUCGAGCGGAACAGUUAACAGAAGAAUUUUUGGAAGAGAGAAAUUUGUGUCGUGUGUUGAGGCCGUAAUUUAAUUCAGGGAUAGUUAUUGCCCUUUUUUAGGUAAUUCCCGUGUUGGUAUUUUUGACUGCCAAGCGUUUUCCGUAAACUUAUUUUGUACCUGUCACGUUCGUGUGGAUUGCGUGCAGGCCAAAGAACGUAAACGCUAGAGGGCUCUUGCUCUCUAUAAAACCAGGAAUAUUUUGGACAAUACUAUGGAAGCAAUGUUGUAAUUUUAAUUUUCAUCUAAUUUAUUCAUUUAGAUUUGAAAUUCAUGCAGAGCGAUAUGCCUUAAAGAAAGUGUAAUUUCAAAAUUGUUACGAACUUUUUGGUCGAUCUGGGGAGCAGUCCAUAGUCGAGCUGCUAAGAGAGUGUUAAUAUGACUCUGGGAGGGGCCUAAAACAUAUUUAAGCCUAAAAAUAUAAACUUAAGUACUAUAAUCAUCACUUUGGAGGUCACUGGGAAAGUGAAAACUGAAACAGCAAAUAAAGGAAAACCGAACAUUCACGCAAGCGUGCGAGAAUGUUAGAGACAUUUUUAACCCA